CAGUGGGAUAGCCAGCUUCGACCAAAGGAAGCUGGGCUCUUGGAGGGAGGAAGCGAGACCCGGGUGGAUCCAGCUGGCAGAAGGAACAGCCUUGAUCUCCUUCCCUAGACCGGAGGUAGCAAACAGGGCCAGAGCGCCACUUACAAGGUGCAGAAGCAAGGACGUGAGCAGAAGAGUUUAAGAGCCGGGGAGACACGGCUGAAGGGAGAGGGAGCCCACGGCCAUACAACACGGGCACCCUAGACUAGGAGGAGAGUCGUGGGAAACACGGAAGAGCAAACACAGGCACAGACAACAGAAAGAUCAAGUCGGAACGUGGGGAUCUGGGAUCUGGCAAGGAAGGAUGCAGACAGAGAGAGUGUGUUCCUGAGGCAGUCUUUGGAGAUUCCAAGGCUGACAAUGUCCCGGAGCCAUGCUUUGGGCUGCAAGAAGAUCCCAUCUGGGCCCACAAGAGGAAGCGUGCUCUGUGCCAACCUGGGGUCUGAGAAGCCAGCAGGCAGAGCGAAGGGAAAGAAGAGAACGGAGAGAUGGAGACACAGACCGAGAAAGUGAGAGGGCACUUUCCAAGGAGCGACCCUGGCCCCAAAGACGCCCUCCCCCAACCCCCCCGGGACGACUCCCAGUCCAAAGGGUGGAAGGUGGAAAAGGAAGCGCCGGCAGGUCAAACGGGACAGCUCCACUGGAAGGGGAGCAGCCAUGAACUGGCCAUACCGUGUGCAGUUAAGUCCAUGCUAUCGUGGUCCCAGAGUGACUUUGCUCUUCCUGACCAUGGCACCUGAUUCUGGUGAGGUCCGAUUUGAGCGCUGGGGGAAGAGGGCUGGGGGAGUGCAGGAGAGCCACGAGUCCCUGCUUCGGCCUCUUUGGGGACCUUUCCUCCAACUCGAAGACAAGUUUCUGAUCUAGGACAUUUCAGGUUCUGGGGUUUGGCAAGCUGUCUCUCGGGACAGAGAGGGGCUGCUUCCAAGUGCCUGACCCAAGCGUCAGGCACACCUUCAGAAAUGCCAGGAAAGCCGAUAAGGAACAACAAAGUAUCACACUCAGUCACACAGCCGAAGACAGGCACACGGCCACAAAGUCAGGGGGAGGAAUGAGGACUGCACGGAGGCCUGGGCCCAGCGGGAAAACCCCAUCCCUGCACCCACACGGGCAGCUGGUGGGGCUCGGGACUGUAGCUCCAGGUCCUGAGGCACGGAAGUCCCUGAGAGAGCUAAGCUGACAAGAAGCACACGGGCAGCGCCAUCUCGGGGUCACAGGGCAGGCCCCUUCCGGGACAGUCCCAGGCACAGUCCCUCAAAGCCGACCUGAUGAACGGAUACCACCGCUAGGCUCCUGGUCCUGCCCGCUCAGCGUGGCCCUGCCAGCCUUCCCCCCACUCACGGAAGCUCCAGCCAGCCAUCUCCCCAUCCUUAUUUCCUUGCUUCCUUCUUUCCUUCAGUCCUGCUUUCCUUCCCUUUGUAUAGGCAUCCAUCCGUCCUUCCGGCCGGCCAUCCACCCACGCAUCCAUCCCUUCAUCCGCCACUCCCACUGGAGCCCCUGCCACAGCCUGCCACUGCACCUGCGCCAGCCCACCGCCAGGGGGCGCGCCCGCUCCCUCAGAGCCCGGCGGACGCGACGCCUAGCAACCGUGGAGGUCAUUGUGAG
ensembl:lncRNA